UUGUACGACUUUGAGGAAUUCAGCAUGUUGUAAGAGUUCAGCUAAUUUCCUUCCGUGCGCUGGUUCAUUUGGGAUUUAAUCGCUGCUGGGUAGCCGGAAAUGCCUACGUGUCACAAGAUGAUAAUUUACUGAAAUCUGACAUGAUCUAGCAUGCAGAGAAUUCAUCAGAUAGAGUCAAGAAUUGAAAAUAUCUGCCUGAAAGCCUACCACACUGAUCUCAUCAUAGGGAGAAAUAUGACUUGAGUAAGCUGCGAGCUUGAAUCUUUGUGACGAUUGUCGAAUCAUAUACGGUCGCAUUGUACACAACACAUAAAUUAGAACAUCAAAAAUAAAAGCUUUUGGAAUGUAA